AUUGAACGCUGGCGGCAGGCCUAACACAUGCAAGUCGAACGAGUGGCGGACGGGUGAGUAAUGUCUGGGAAACUGCCUGAUGGAGGGGGAUAACUACUGGAAACGGUAGCUAAUACCGCAUACCAUCGGAUGUGCCCAGAUGGGAUUAGCUAGUAGGUGGGGUAAAGGCUCACCAAGGCGACGAUCCCUAGCUGGUCUGAGAGGAUGACCGGCCACACUGGAACGGGGACACGGUCCAGACUCCUACGGAAGGCAGCAGUGGGGAAUAUUGCACAAUGGGCGCAAGCCUGAUUGAGCCAUGCCGCGUGUAUGAAGAAGGCCUUCGGGUUGUAAAGUACUGUCAGCGGGGAGGCGUUACCCGCAGAAAAAGCACCGGCUAACUCCGUGCCAGCAGCCGCGGUAAUAC
rnacentral:rRNA from 1 species